rnacentral:rRNA from 1 species
CACGUAGGGUGCGAGCGUUGUCCGGAAUUAUUGGGCGUAAAGAGCUCGUAGGCGGUGUGUCGCGUCGGCCGUGAAAACCUGCAGCUUAACUGUGGGCUUGCGGUCGAUACGGGCAUCACUGGAGUUCGGCAGGGGAGACUGGAAUUCCUGGUGUAGCGGUGAAAUGCGUAGAUAUCGUAAGGAAGACCAGUGGCGAAGGCGGGUCUCUGGACAGUUCCUGACGCUGAGGCACGAAGGUCAGGGAGCAAACGGG